ACACGGGGGGCGCAAGCGUUAUUCGGAAUUACUGGGCGUAAAGCGCGUGCAGGCGGUAAGGUAAGUCAGAUGUGAAAGCCCCGGGCUCAACCCGGGAAGUGCAUUUGAUACUGCCUUUCUUGAGUAUGGGAGAGGAGAGUGGAAUUCCCAGUGUAGAGGUGAAAUUCGUAGAUAUUGGGAGGAACACCCGUGGCGAAGGCGACUCUCUGGACCAAUACUGACGCUGAGACGCGAAAGCGUGGGGAGCGAACAGGAGUAGAAACCCCUGUAGUCC
rnacentral:rRNA from 1 species